rnacentral:rRNA from 1 species
CAGCCGCCGCGGUAAUACGGAGGGAGCUAGCGUUGUUCGGAAUUACUGGGCGUAAAGCGCGCGUAGGCGGUUACUCAAGUCAGAGGUGAAAGCCCGGGGCUCAACCCCGGAUGUGCCUUUGAGACUGCAGGGCUAGAACGUCGGAGAGGUGAGUGGAAUUCCGAGUGUAGAGGUGAAAUUCGUAGAUAUUCGGAAGAACACCAGUGGCGAAGGCGGCUCACUGGACGACUGUUGACGCUGAGGUGCGAAAGCGUGGGGAGCAAACAGGAUUAGAUACCCGCGUAGUCCCUGUCUCUUAUAC